rnacentral:lncRNA from 1 species
GGUUUCCUGGUUAUUUACAUAUGUAAAUACAUACAUUUAUAUACAUAUGUACGCAUAGUAAGCGAAGUGUUAUACGCCAAGCGCAGGACGACGUUUCGCCUCAAUUGAUUUUUUGCACAGCGUGAGUGCCUGCUUUUCCGUGUAAGACUUUGGAGAAAAAGAAGCGUUAGCGAUGGCUAAAAAUUAAAAUAGAGUGGUAAAGGGUGCAGUUGUGGAAUUUUCAAAAAGUACAAAAAAAAAAGUGCAAGAAAAACAAAUUUUCGUUUAAAAAAUAAUAAUAGUAGCAUACAAUAUAUGUAUGCACCAAUAACGAUUAAACAAAAGCAUGCAGCUGCUCCUGGUGGCCUACUCAAAAGUCAAAAGUGCAAAAAAAAAAACAACAAAAAAAUCAGCAACUCCACAUCUAGCAGCGUUGCAGCAGCACAGCAAUUGGGGGCUACCUUCACGUGUUUUUUAUGCGGCUCUAAGCUGUGAGCUCUGCUCGUCUACAUCUAUUACAUUUCUUUGUGUAUGUGUGUGUGUGUGUGUGCUCACUCACCUCACUUACCAACUUGUGUAGCGUAUACGCCACCGCCGCAAUCGUAAUUGCUUGAUUGUGUGUGUGUAAAUUCUAUGUGUGUAUAUAUUCGCUUCUUAGUCAGCUGCAAGUGUCGGAACUGCACUCGGUCAGCAGACAGUUGUAGUAAGCGUUGAAGCGUUCAUCUGUACACUUAACAUACAAAACUCUUUGGUCCUGCUUGGCGUAUAAGUGCUGGGCGCGCGGUUGAAAUUAAAUACAUACGCACAUACAUAUGUAGAUAUGAGAGGGUGUGUCUAUCUAUAUAGUUUAAGCAGAAAUAGAUAACGCUGUGAAGGUAAACGGAUUUACACUCUCAUUUACUCAAGUGGCUGUACGUGUUUUUUAAAUGUUUCAAUAAGACACUGUCUCGCGGUCUAUGAGUAAACACCUAAAUAAAUAACAACAAAUUGACGGAGAGCAAGAAAAAAAAAAUAAACUAGAAACAUAAAAAAUAAAUAAUAAAAAUAAAAAUAUAACGAAAUUUACAAUAAAUUGCUGAGCAAAGCCACAAACCACAAAUAAUUGUAAUAUAAUUUACAAUUCUACACAUAUGUAUUUGCAUAUUCAUAUGUAUGUGUGUGUAAUAAAAAUUAAAUUAAAACAAAAUUUUUUGUGCAACUAAAAAUACGCUACAAGCCAAUUAGCAGCAGCAACAAUAGCAACAAACAAACAAAUAAGCACUUGCUAGCCAACGUACAACAAAUUAGAAAAUUUGUGUAUAAAAUUAAGCAACAACAACAAAGCGAAGAGCGUAGAAUACACUGCAAAAAAAAAAAAAAAGAAAUAGCAACGAAAGGUGGCGAGUUAAAAAAGGUGAAGCGAAUUCAGUGCAAGCAAAAGAUAGAAAAAAAAA